rnacentral:rRNA from 1 species
GAUGAACGCUGGCGGCGUGCUUAACACAUGCAAGUCGAACGGAAAGGCUCCUGCUUGCAGGGGUACUCGAGUGGCGAACGGGUGAGUAACACGUGGGUGAUCUGCCCUGCACUUCGGGAUAAGCCUGGGAAACUGGGGCUAAUACCGGAUAGGACGAUGGGUUGGAUGCCAUGGUGGAAAGUUUUUCGGUGGGGGAUGAGCUCGCGGCCUAUCAGCUUGUUGGUGGGGUAAUGGCCUACCAAGGCGUCGACGGGUAGCCGGCCUGAGAGGGUGUACGGCCACAUUGGGACUGAGAUACGGCCCAGACUCCUACGGGAGGCAGCAGUGGGGAAUAUUGCACAAUGGGCGCAAGCCUGAUGCAGCGACGCCGCGUGGGGGAUGACGGCCUUCGGGUUGUAAACUCCUUUCGCUAGGGACGAAGCGCAAGUGACGGUACCUGGAGAAGAAGCACCGGCUAACUACGUG